UACGUGAGGGGGCGAGCGUUGUCCGGAUUUAUUGGGCGUAAAGAGCUCGUAGGCGGUUUGGCAAGUCGGGUGUGAAAACUCCGGCUCAACUCGGAGACGCCACUCGAUACUGCCAUGACUCGAGUCCGGUAGGGAGUGCGGAAUUCCUGGUGUAGCGGUGAAAUGCGCAGAUAUCAGGAGGAACACCGGUGGCGAAGGCGGCACUCUGGGCCGGUACUGACGCUGAGGAGCGAAAGCGUGGGGAGCGAACAGG
rnacentral:rRNA from 1 species